rnacentral:rRNA from 1 species
UACGUAGGAACCAAGCGUUGUCCGGAAUUACUGGGUGUAAAGGGUGCGCAGGCGGAUCUGUGCGUCAAGGGUUAAAGGCCUCGGCUCAACCGAGGAAAUGCCUUUGAUACGGCAGGUCUUGAGUACGAGAGAGGAUGGUAGAAUUCCUGGUGUAGCGGUGAAAUGCGUAGAUAUCAGAAGGAACACCAAUGGCGAAGGCAGCUUACUGGACAACAACUGACGCUGAGGCACGAAAGCGUGGGUAGCGAAAGGG